rnacentral:lncRNA from 1 species
UAAAAAGGACAAGCUGUGGAUUAGGUGGAUCACUGUGUACUACAUCAAAGACAGACCUAUAGAAUCCAUUCCAAUUCCUUCUCAGGCAAGUUGGAUGGUUAGAAAGAUCAUCCAAUCAAGAGACAUACUAUAGAGGAUCCAACACUGGAAGGAACAUAGAUGCUCAACUAGACAGUUGUACCAGUCACAGAUGCAAGAUCUGCAGAGAGUCCCAUGGAAGAAUUUAAUCAUACAAAACUAUGCAAGGCCAAAGGCAACCUUCAAUCUGCAGAGAUGCUCAACUAGACAGUUGUACAGGUCACAGAUGCAAGAGUUGCCGAGAGUCCCAUGGAAGAAUUUAAUCAUACAAAACUAUGCAAGGCCAAAGGCAAUCUUCAACCUAUGGCUAUUCUUAUAGGACAGACUCCCAACAAAGGACAGAUUGCACAGCUGGGGAAUGAGUAUUGAUCAACAAUGCACCUUAUGCCAAAAUCACCCGGAAACUAGAGACCAUCUGCUAGUGUCCUGCCCUGUCACUAUGGACUUAUGGGAAAGAACAAUGAACUGGUUGCAGAAGAAUUAUCUUCCCACCAAUGAUUGGAACCAGAAAAUGCAGUGGUUAGUAAGCAAAGCCAAGGGUCGAACAUGUCGAGCAACCAUCUUCAACAUGGUAACUGCUGAGUUUGUAUAUACUAUCUGGCUGGAAAGGAAUUCAAGAAUCUUCAACAAGAUAUUUCGAUGUAACACAGCCCUUUUAAGAGACAUAGUGUAUAAUUGUAAUGUUAGAGGUACCCCACGAAUUAGACAGCAAUUACAAAUAUAGUAGUGUUAGUUAGUUAGGAUAGUAGAAACAAUUUAUAUGUUAUCCCACAGAUAGUCAGCUGAGUUGAAGCUAGACUAUGGUUUUGUAAUGUUACUUCAUUAGUGAUUAAUGAAAUGCCUUAAUUACCAAAAAAACUUUCGAACAUUGUAUUUCAAAUUAAAAAAUUGUCUUAAAUUCGGUUUCGAUACUGUAUUCUUAAUUACCAAAAAAUAAAUCAAUAUCAUAUAGUUGGAAUAGUGAAUAAUCAAUUAUGCAUCAUACUUAUAGAUACAGGAGCAUGUAUGUCCCAUAUCACAGCAGAUUUAGUAAAAGAAAUUUAUGAAGCAGAACAAGAGUUUAGGUAUAAAGACUUUUUAGGUCUAGAACAUAUACAUGAUAAAGCAUCAGAAAUCGAGAUUACUUUCAGUCAAGAUUUAAGUAUUAAGUUUGAAAUCUUAGUUGAUUUUCAAGAUAAAAGAAGAGAAGUUUUAUUAGGAAUAGAUUUCCUGAAAAUUUUUGAAUAUAUAAUUAAAAACGAAGAAAUAAUUUUAGAAAUAAAUCAUAAGCAAUUUAGAAUACCGAGAAUAAGGUUAAACCCUUAUCUCAUUAAAAAACAGAUACAAUAAUGGAAGAAGAAAGUAAAAUUAUUCAGUUAGAAGAUAAUCAAGGAAGAUAUAUUCAAGAUAUCCUUUUAGAUAAAAAAAAUAGUUAAUCAAGUUAAGAAUAAAGGAAAUUUAGAUAUAGUCGAAACAGAAGGAACGAAAAGUUCAAUAUUACAGAAAUUGUCUAGAAAAAAUAUAAUUUAUUAUGGAAUAAUGCAAGGAGAACAGCCUGUUAAUAUAGAACAAACUACGACUAAGUUUCAAGCACCGUUGAUAGACAUUUAUCAAAUAGGAAAUAGAUUAAUGGCUAUAAAAACCGAAGAACGAUUAAAGACUAAGUUCCAAGCACCAUUGAUAGACAUUAAUCAAAUAGGAAAAGAUUAAUGGCUAUAAAAAACGAAGAACGAUUAAAAAUAGGAUAUAUUCAUACAAACACUAUCAAGAUAAUAAUCAGAUCAACUUUCAGAGAAGGUAUUAAAACACCCGUUACACUAACAGUCGAAGAUAAUAGAAUUAUGGAUAAUCAGUAUAAAAAAUUAGGAGAAAUAGAAGGAGAUUUAGGAUACACAACAAUAAAGUUUUGUGUUACACUACAGUUUCCUAUACCACUAAGUACAAAGAAAAUAGAUAAUUGUUUAGGCAUAAUAUGUAAUUUUAAAGAAAAACAUUUCAUGGAAAAAGGUGAUAUUCCUUUGUAAUCUGUUACAUGAUAGCAUAUGCACUUAGUAAUUUUUGUUUAAGUUUAACUUACAAGAAUCAAGAUCAAAUAUAAACAGAUAAAUUAUUAAGUGAAACAAGUACACUAAUAAAAAGUGAUGAAAUAUCUAGAGAGUUUCUUAGAACUCAUAGUUCUAGAAAUUUACUAUUUAGAAUAGAACAAAGUAAUUUAUUACCAUGUUCUAGUCAAAAAAAUGAUAUAAAACAACCGACAAGUAAAAAGACUUUAUUUGAAGAAGAUAAUGAAAUAGAAAAAAUGAAUAGGCAAAUAACAGAGUUAAAUAAUAUUAUAGAAAGUUUAAAUAAAAAAAUAUAAUAUGGAAAGAUUAAUAAUAAAAAAUGUAGAUCUAAAACAUAGAAUUAAAGAUAAGAUGGAAAGAUUAAUAAUUUAAAAUAUAGAAUAAAAGAAUUAGAAAAAGAAAAUGAAGAGCAACAUGAUUUAAUAUUAGCAAAGGAUAAAGUAAUAAAAAAGCAAGAAGAAUUUGUAAUAACCUUGUUAAAAAGAAUAGAUAGUUUAAAAAGAGAAUUGAAUGGACAAGCAGAUCUAGAAAAUGAAUCGCCUAAUACAGUUUUAUAUUAAUCCACAAUAAGCAAACUAGUGCUUUAAAUCUAGCAAACUAGUGCUUUAAAUUUCUAGAACUAAAUGCGGGCUAGAUUUAAAGCACUAGUUUGUUUAUUGUGGAUUAAUAUAAAACUGUAUUAGGCGAUUCAUUUUCUAGAUCUGCUUGUCUAUUCAAUUCUCUUUUUAAACUAUCUAUUCUUUUUAACAAGGUUAUUACAAAUUCUUCUUGUUUUUUUAUUACUUUAUCCUUUGCUAAUAUUAAAUCAUGCUGCUCUUCAUUUUCUUUUUCUAAUUCUUUUAUUCUAUGUUUUAAAUUAUUAAUCUUUCCAUCUUACAUCUUUUUAUUUAAACUUUCUACAAUAUUAUUUAAUUCUGUUAUUUGCUUAUUCAUUUUUUCUAUUUCAUUAUCUUCUUCAAAUAAAGUCUUUUUACUUGUCGGUUGUUUUAUAUCAUUUUUUUGGCUAGAACAUGGUAAUAAAUUACUUUGUUCUAUUCUAAAUAGUAAAUUUCUAGAACUAUGAGUUCUAAGAAACUCUCUAGAUAUUUCAUCACUUUUUAUUAGUGUACUUGUUUCACUAAAUAAUUUAUCAGUGUAUAUUUGAUCUUGAUUCUUGUAAGUUAAACUUAAACAAGAAUUACUAAGUGCAUAUGCUAUCCUGUAGCAGAUUACUAGAGGAAUAUCACCUUUUUCCAUUGAACUUUUUUCUUUAAAAUUACAUAUUGUGCCUAAACAAUUAUCUAUUUUCUUUGUACUUAGUAGUAUAGGAAACUGUAGUGUAACACAAAACUUUAUUGUUGUGUAUCCUAAAUUUUUAUACUGAUUAUCCAUAAUUCUAUUAUCUUCGACUGUUAGUGUAACAGGUGUUUUAAUACCUUCUAAUUAUCUGGAUAGUGUUCAUAUGAAUAUAUCCUAUUUUUAAUCGUUCUUCGUCUUUUAUAGCAAUUAAUCUUUUUCCUAUUUGAUUAAUGUCUAUCAAUGGUGCUUGGAACUUAGUUGUAGGUUGUUCUAUAUUAACAGGCUGUUCUCCUUGCAUUAUUCCGUAAUAAAUUAUAUUUUUUCUAGACAAUUUCUGUAAUAUUGAACUUUUCGUUCCUUCUGUUUCGACUAUAUCUAAAUUUCCUUUAUUCUUAACUUGAUUAACUAUUUUUUUUAUCUAAAAGGAUAUCUUGAAUAUAUCUUCCUUGAUUAUCUUCUAACUGAAUAAUUUUACUUUCUUCUUCCAUUAUUGUAUCUGUUUUUUAAUGAGAUAAGGGUUUAACCUUAUUCUCGGUAUUCUAAAUUGCUUAUGAUUUAUUUCUUCCUUUUUAAUUAUAUAUUCAAAAUUUUCCUGGAAAUCUAUUCCUAAUAAUACUUCUCUUGUUUUAUCUUGAAAAUCAACUAAGAUUUCAAACUUAAAUCUUGACUGAAAAUAAUCUCGAUUUCUGAUGCUUUAUCCUGUAUGUGUUCUAGACCUAAAAAGUCUUUAUACCUAAACUCUUGUUCUGCUUCAUAAACUUCUUUUACUAAAUUUGCUGUGAUAUGGGACAUACAUGCUCCUGUAUCUAUAAGUAUGAUGCAUAAUUGAUUAUUUACUAUUCCAACUAUAUGAUAUUGAUUAUCAUUAUAUGUUUGUUUUAUUUCUAAAAUCAUUUUAAUAAAUUUUUAUGAGGUUGUGAAACUAGAAAGAGUAACAGUAUUUUACAGAGAGAUAUACCUGAGUUUUUCUGAUAUCAACACAAGUCCGAAUAACGAGCUACAACAUCCCUUGCAAAACGCCCUUUUCUACAUACCUCUAGUGCUCCAGAUAUACUUCUGAAAAACUUACUAUAAUCUCUUUGUUUUUCUGUUUCCUCUCUAGCUUCACUCAAAAAACUUAGCUACUCAUAUGAACUGAAUAAUACUUUUAUUACCGAAUAUUUUUACAACAUUUCAAGGACUGAUUUUUGGCUUAUGUCUACUCUUAUGUUCGUCUGUCCUUAAAAUGAAAUUGUCCCUCUCCUUAUAUAGAUGAAGUGGAAUGAUACAGAAAAGAAA